rnacentral:rRNA from 1 species
UACGUAGGGUCCGAGCGUUGUCCGGAUUUAUUGGGCGUAAAGAGCUCGUAGGCGGCUCAGUAAGUCAGAUGUGAAAACUCAGGGCUCAACCCGGAGACGCCAUCUGAUACUGCUGUGGCUUGAGUCUGGUAGGGGAUCACGGAAUUCCUGGUGUAGCGGUGAAAUGCGCAGAUAUCAGGAGGAACACCGGUGGCGAAGGCGGGUCUCUGGGCCGAUACUGACGCUAAGGAGCGAAAGCGUGGGGAGCGAACAGG